GUUUCGUUUCAGCGCAGUUCUCGCGCUGCAACCUUGCUCCUGUUGCAACGAGAGCCUUCGAGAUCUUCUCCGCCUCCGCGACCGGCGCCUCCUCUGCGGCCGUGGAGCCGGAGCCGCGGCCCGAGCGGUAGAGGCCCCCGUCUUUCUCCAAGCCCCAAGCCUCCUAGCGGACGGUCGUCCGGCUUCGCCCGCCCAGCCGCGGCGCUCCACCGGCCCACGCGGCUCGCCCUCUUCCACGCGCCAACCCCGCCGGGUUCCGUGUGCAGUGUCGGCGGCCGGCCCUGGGCCCGAGCCGGAGCAGUAGCCGGCGCCAUGUCGGUGGUGGGCAUAGACCUGGGCUUUCAGAGCUGCUAUGUCGCUGUGGCCCGCGCCGGCGGCAUCGAGACGAUCGCUAACGAGUAUAGCGACCGCUGCACGCCGUAAGUGGGGCUUGGCUGGCGGGGUCGCCUCGCUUUCCGGGCGAGGGUCCGCAGGAGACCCCCGCCGAGUGCCGGGUCGCCCGCGGCUGCCACCUGCUUCGGAUCCUGGGCCUGCGCCAGGCACGAGGCCCUUUCGCGCGGGCCAAACGAAGGCUUUGAGCCGGUACUCUGAUCGGCGGAGGGCAGGAGCAGGAACUGAAAGAGAAGGCGGGCCUGAGACCGUGGGAUGGACCGACCGCUCUCACCUCCUUUUUUGGGGGGGGGGAGGGUUUGGGUGGUUCGGUCUGAAACGAGGUCCAGGGCUUGCUGAGCUCGUCGAAUCCAAUAGAGGUUCAAACUCGGCCCACGGCGAGCAUUUAAUAAAAGUUAACUUGCAAGAUUGUGGCCUCGGGACUGGGAAGCGCUCUGAGUCCCACGUGAGUGGGGGCGGGGUGGCGCCCGGAAGAUGUGGAGUCUGAGUACCCACGGCAGGCCCUGAAUAAAGUCCAUGCUUUUCUUG
rnacentral:lncRNA from 1 species